CGCACCGAGCGGCACCGGCGCUACGCGUCCCCUCCCGCCGCCCGCGCCUGCCCUGAGGCCGCGGGCCCGGCCGCUCCCUGCUGCUCGUCCCGCCCCCGGCGCCGAUCCCCUCCCGGCGGCCAGCCGGGCCCGACCCCCCGGAUUAGCCUGGGCACGGCCUAAGCCUCUUUGCUGCCGCCGCCCCCGGGAUGGCCCGGCAUGGAGGCCGGCGGCGCUGAGCGACGCGGCGGGGAGCUCUGCCUGCAGGUGGGCGACGCCGGCCUGGGCGGCCUCAUCCUGCUGCUGCUGACGGCCCGGCCGGCCCCGGGUGAUGGGGCGGCCCGCGGGGAGCUCCUCGAGCCUGGCGGGCUGCGGGGGCCCCUGGCGCGCUCCCUGCAGCGGGCAGAGGCCAUGCUGCGCAGCUGCGUCACCCCGGG